UACGGAGGGUGCGAGCGUUAUUCGGAAUUACUGGGCGUAAAGCGCGUGCAGGCGGUUGGAUCAGUCUGAUGUGAAAGCCCCGGGCUCAACCUGGGAAGGGCAUUGGAAACUGUCCGACUUGAGUUCCGGAGAGGAAGGGAGAAUUCCCGGUGUAGAGGUGAAAUUCGUAGAGAUCGGGAGGAACACCAGUGGCGAAGGCGCCCUUCUGGACGGCAACUGACGCUGAGACGCGAAAGCGUGGGGAGCAAAC
rnacentral:rRNA from 1 species